rnacentral:rRNA from 1 species
AUUCAGUCGGGGGCGGCGGACGACGACCGGAAAUAUCGGCAGGGCUUCUCCAAGCUGGRGGCCGUCUGGUCGCUCGUCUACCGUCGUCUCCUACGCAUUUGUCUCCCGUCCGAAGGACGCCGCAGCCGGUUGGGUAUWUGCAAGCACGGCGGCCUGAGGGGCGGACGAAGGCAGUUGGCCGGUGGCUGGGACCCAUUCCCUGUCGCCGGUUGUUAGCCUGUCCGCCGGUGGCCCGUCACCCGACCGAGGUGUCACGAGGCCCCUAGUUGGGCCCCAACAUGUCCUCCUCCCUGGAUGCGGGGCAGAGUGUCGCAGCCGAAUUCCGCCGCCUGUCGCACGCCACGAGGCGUGGACUCGAGAGCGGAAGGCGCCGAUGGCGAUGCCGGACCCGUGGGAUGAAUGGAGGCUGGCGGCGAAAAGGUCGGUCACCCACCCGACCCGUCUUGAAACACGGACCAAGGAGUCUAACAUGUGCGCGAGUCAAUGGGACUUGAAUAGGCCCAGAGGCGCAAUGAAAGCAAAGGGCGGCCUUGACGCCGCCCGAGUUGGGAUCCGUCCUCUCUAAUGGGGGCGGCGCACCAGCGACCCGUCCUAUCCGGCUCGUCCGGUUGGGCGGAGUGUGAGCGCACACGUUGGUACCCGAAAGAUGGUGAACUAUGCCCGGGCAGGACGAGGCCAGAGGAAACUCUGGUGGAGGUCCGCAGCGGUUCUGACGUGCAAAU